GACGAACGCUGGCGGCGUGCUUAACACAUGCAAGUCGAACGAUGAAGCCGGAGCUUGCUCUGGUGAAUUAGUGGCGAACGGGUGAGUAACACGUGAGUAACCUGCCCUUGACUCUGGGAUAACUGCGGGAAACUGUAGCUAAUACCGGAUACGACCCUCGGAGGCAUCUCCUGGGGGUGGAAAGAACUUCGGUCAAGGAUGGACUCACGGCCUAUCAGCUAGUUGGUGAGGUAAAGGCUCACCAAGGCGACGACGGGUAGCCGGCCUGAGAGGGUGACCGGCCACACUGGGACUGAGACACUGCCCAGACUCCUACGGGAGGCAGCAGUGGGGAAUAUUGCACAAUGGGCGCAAGCCUGAUGCAGCAACGCCGCGUGAGGGAUGACGGCCUUCGGGUUGUAAACCUCUUUUAGCAGGGAAGAAGCGAAAGUGACGGUACCUGCAGAAAAAGCACCGGCUAACUACGUGCCAGCCGCCGCAGUAA
rnacentral:rRNA from 1 species